UACGUAGGGAGCAAGCGUUGUCCGGAAUCAUUGGGCGUAAAGCGCGCGUAGGUGGCCUCAUAAGUCCGCUGUGAAAGUCAAAGGCUCAACCUUUGAAAGCCGGUGGAUACUGUGAGGCUAGAGUACGGAAGAGGCGAGUGGAAUUCCUGGUGUAGCGGUGGAAUGCGCAGAUAUCAGGAGGAACACCGAUGGCGAAGGCAGGUCUCUGGGCUGACACUGACGCUCAUGCACGAAAGCGUGGGGAGCAAACAGG
rnacentral:rRNA from 1 species